UACGAAGGGUGCAAGCGUUAAUCGGAAUUACUGGGCGUAAAGCGCGCGUAGGUGGUUCGUAAAGUUAGGAGUGAAAGCCCCGGGCUCAACCUGGGAAUUGCUUCUAAAACUGGCGAGCUAGAGUAUGGUAGAGGGUGGUGGAAUUUCCUGUGUAGCGGUGAAAUGCGUAGAUAUAGGAAGGAACAUCAGUGGCGAAGGCGACCACCUGGACUGAUACUGACACUGAGGUGCGAAAGCGUGGGUAGCAAACAGGAUUAGAUACCCUGGUAGUCCCU
rnacentral:rRNA from 1 species